rnacentral:rRNA from 1 species
GUAAUAGUUAUGUUCUUGAAACUUAAAAAAUUUGGCGGUAUUUUAGUCUAUUCAGAGGAACUUGUCCUAUAAUUGAUAAUCCACGUUGGACCUUACUUAAGUUUGUUAAACAGUCUAUAUACCGUCGUUAUCAGAAUAUUUUAUAAGGAUAAUAAUUUUCGUAAAUUUAAAUCUAAUUAUAUUUCAGAUCAAGGUGUAGCUUAUAUUUAAGUAGUGAUGAGUUACAUUAAAAUUAUUUAAAUGAAUAUUAUUAUGAAAAAUUAAUUGAAGGUGGAUUUGGAAGUAAAAUUAUAAAGAU